UACGUAGGGGGCAAACGUUGUCCGGAUUUACUGGGUGUAAAGGGUGCUCAGGCGGUUUUGUAAGUCAGAAGUGAAAUCCUAGAGCUUAACUCUGGAACUGCUUUUGAUACUGCAAAGCUUGAAUGUGGAAGAGGAGGAUGGAAUUUCUGGUGUAGCAGUGAAAUGCGUAGAUAUCAGAAAGAACACCAGUGGCGAAGGCGAGUCCCUGGACAACACCUGACACUGAGGCACGAAAGCUAGGGGAGCAAACAGG
rnacentral:rRNA from 1 species